AUUGAACGCUGGCGGCAGGCCUAACACAUGCAAGUCGAGCGAGCGGCGGACGGGUGAGUAAUGUCUGGGAAACUGCCUGAUGGAGGGGGAUAACUACUGGAAACGGUAGCUAAUCCCGAAUAACAUCAGAUAUGCCCAGAUGGGAUUAGCUAGUAGGGGGGGGAAUGGCGCACCUAGGCGACGAUCCGUAGCCGGUGUGAGAGGAUGACCAGCCACACUGGAACUGAGACAAGGUCCAGACUCCUACGGGAGGCAGCAGUGGGGAAUAUUGCACAAUGGGCGCAAGCCUGAUGCAGCCAUGCCGCGUGUGUGAAGAAGGCCUUCGGGUUGUAAAGCACUUUAAGUUGGGAGGCGUUACCAACAGAAUAAGCACCGGCUAACUUCGUGCCAGCAGCCGCGGUAAUUC
rnacentral:rRNA from 1 species